CUAUAAUUACAUUACUUUGCACCUAACCUGUCAAAACUUGAUCAUUCAAACCGCGAUGGAGCAAAGCGAAAGCCCUGAAGUGCUCCAAAAGAAGCUUUAUUUUCUUUUAGAACAACUACAGGAAAUGUCACGCGAUUUACCGGCAAAGUAUCAGAUGCGUUUACCCUAUGAAUUACUCACAAGCCUGGCAAACAGUUUACUCAACGAAACAAUUUUCGAAAUAGUCAAAGGUCUAAUGGACAUUCAAAACGUAACCGAACAGCACAUGUUCCAAAAACGCAUUCAAUUACUCAACAAACAAAAAAUUGCCGAGGAGGAAAUCGCCGGCCGCACGGACCUCACCGGCGAGGAGAAGGUGCAGCUGCUGCGGGAAUUGGUGGAGACACAGAGGAUUGACUUGAAACAGUUUGACAUGUCUUUGGUGAUUGAAUUGGAUGAGAAGGUGAGUUGCAGCUCUUCUUCUUUGCAACAGAGUUCUGUGUGCAGAUUUUAGGUUACAGGCACACAAGUCACCCUGCAAAGCACAAGAGUGUGUUACAUAAGCAUGCUGUGGGGUGGUGUGUGCUGUUGGGGUUGCACUGCAGCUUUGCCGCUGGCCGGCAGUGGGAGAAUCAAUAAUCCAACUCAGCCUUGAAAUUUUCGAAUCAAUAAAGUGCGCGGCGUGCGCGUUGGUAAUUUCAAAUCGUAAACACAAUUAUACGCAUCGCGGAAGUUUAAUUGCAUCUUAACAAGCGUUUAAUUUCAUUUACAAAACAAGUAAAAACAUGAAAAAUAGUAUAAUGAUUGUAGUUUUGUAAAUUUCAAGUUAUAAAUUUUGAAUUUAAGGGUAAAAAACAGUUUGAAAUCUUGUAAGCUCCGCCCUUUUGCGUUUAGAGUAAGGGAAGGUGAAUGAUCAACAAACGACGCUGGCGAAAGCAGGAGUGCCCGGUUUCUUCGCGACCAAGAAUGUGAUCGAUAUAAAGGUACAAAUGCAUUUGUUAGACUUUAUUCUGCGUCUUAGUAAUAUGAAAAUACCUGCGUAAUAAGUUAAAUUUAAUUUUUUUCUAAAAA